rnacentral:rRNA from 1 species
CCUACGGGUGGCAGCAGUGAGGAAUAUUGGUCAAUGGGCGUAAGCCUGAACCAGCCAAGUCGCGUGAGGGAUGAAGGCUCUAUGGAUCGUAAACUUCUUUUAUAAGGGAAUAAAGUGCGGGACGUGUCCUGUUUUGUAUGUACCUUAUGAAUAAGGAUCGGCUAAUUCCGUGCCAGCAGCCGCGGUAAUACGGAGGAUCCGAGCGUUAUCCGGGUUUAUUGGGUUUAAAGGGAGCGUAGGCGGCGUUUUAAGUCAGCGGUGAAAGCCUGUGGCUCAACCAUAGAAUUGCCGUUGAAACUGGGGGGCUUGAGUAUGUGUGAGGCAGGUGGAAUGCGUGGUGUAGCGGUGAAAUGCUUAGAUAUCACGAAGAACCCCGAUUGCGAAGGCAGCCUGCCGGGCCAUGACUGACGCUGAUGCACGAAAGCGUGGGGAUCAAACAGGAUUAGAUACCCGAGUAGUC